CAUACAUGUGCCUCUAUACAGCGACGAAAUUACGGUCAACUACUAGAGACAAGAUUCCUCUCUUCAUCAGUUAUAUUCUGGUUGGUUUAGGGUAAACAUAUCAGGUUCUAGCUCCGUCAAUAGUUAUACAUUUUAAUCAUGGAGAAGAGAACAUCUCAGCAAGAUGGAGACUGGAGAAAUCCUGAAGAACCAAGGAACCUGGAUCAAAAUCAUUCAAAUUGGACUGAUAGAGUUCCAGUAGAUUCGUCACCAGGACGACUGGUAAACAGUAGGUCGUCAUCUCAAGAUUGGAGACGAAUUAGCCAAAGCUCGAUUGAAGAACCAUCAUUUCAGGUUCUAGAAAGAAGAAGAAACCCUUCCUCACCAAUUACCAGAACCACCAUGAUACAUCCACCAAGACAAAUCCGUCCGCCAAGUUUGUCUCCGCCUAGUUCUGGUGAGGAUUCAGAUUUAAGAUUUAGUUUUGAUCAUUCCUCUCUCCUACUCCCAGACCUACCCGGAGGACGAGGUCGUCUACUCUCAAUAUCGGAGGAGGUUGCAACCUCUACACCGAGACUAUGCACAGAUGUUCUCCCACCUCUUAACACACUGACACCCUCAACCUCGCCUGUGAUAGAUGAAGGGGUGAGUAGGGAGGAUGGCACCAGGACAGGUAGUCCGGAGAGUAGUUUAGAGCUCCGGGGUUCAGAGGAUUCCAAGGAUUCUAAUCCAAGGUUUAAAACUGAGAUUUGUCGGAACUUCAAGGAGAAGGGAAGUUGUCUCUACGGACAUGAAUGCCAGUUUGCUCAUGGAUACGAUGAGAUGCGAGAUGCUGGUAAACAGAACAAAUAUAAAACUAAACUGUGCCAAAAAUACUGGAUAGCUGGCUACUGUGCCUACGGUCCACGCUGUAACUUCCUUCAUAACGAGGAAGGAGAAACUCAGGUUAAACAAAUAAACAGUAUUGAGGACAAUAUUGGAGAAUCAUUCGAGCUUCCCUCCCCAUCCCUCUCAUCCUCGACAGCGAGGGGGAUGGUUCGAAUCCCUCCUCUCUCCUCCCUCCUGUGGCCUCAGUACGGUUCAGGAAGGUUAGCUGCGUUCCCUCAUAAUGAUGGGCUAGCAUGGGUAGACACCAGGACUAAUACAAUUGUUUGAUUUACAAAACCAAAAUCAUUGUCGAAUAUAAAACUAAAUAACGUAACAAUUAUUAAAGAACUGUUCUGUAAACGAUACUGUAUUAUUGACGAAAGUUUGUUUGAUAUUUUAAUUUUUUUUCUCCAAUUUCUAUAAUCUGCUAAAGAAAAAACUCAACUCCUUUAUACAUGUUUGAUCGCGGACUUUAUUGUACAUAUAAUGUAAGAAAAAUCUAUCAAUCCUAUAAUGUAAAAAUGUAUUGCUGGUCCAAAUCAUGUUUUAAAAAAGCUUGUUAUAUU